CAGCACCUCAAGUGGUCAGGAUGAUUAUUGGGCCUAAAGCAUCCGUAGCCGGCGCUGUAAGUUUUCGGUUAAAUCUGUAUGCUCAACAUACAGGCUGCCGGGAAUACUGCAGAGCUAGGGAGUGGGAGAGGUAGACGGUACUCGGUAGGAAGGGGUAAAAUCCUUUGAUCUAUUGAUGACCACCUGUGGCGAAGGCGGUCUACCAGAACACGUCCGACGGUGAGGGAUGAAAGCUGGGGGAGCAAACCGGAUUAGAUACCCGCGUAGUCC
rnacentral:rRNA from 1 species